CGCUCAACCAACUGAGACCCCCGGGCGCCCCUGAAGAGAAAUGUGUUACAGAAGCAAUUGGAAACCGAUACAUCCGUCUUUGGGACCGUGUAUGAAUUUCUAUAGGCUAGAAAUUCUAGAAAUGAAUUUGCACAAUUGAAGGGACAACGUGGAAGAGAAGAGUGGACCCAGAGCCUCAUUCCUAGUCCUUGGCCACAUGCACUUGACCUGUCAGCACCAAGGCCAGGCACCCCGCAGACACGAGUCACCCUUCUACUCCUAGUUGCCUAAGAAUUCACAUCAUGAAUGCAUGUUGGAUUUCGUCAGAUGAUUCUUCUGCAUCUGUUGAGAUGCUCAUGUAUCGAUAUCAGUGUCUAUAACUUGGUGUAUUAAUUAGCAAAUUCAUUAAUUGAUAUAGCAAAUUGCACUGAUUGAUCCGUCAACGGAUGGAUAACCAACCCUGCGUUCCCGGGCUAGACCUUGCGAGACGUCGUGCGUUUGUGUCUGCUGAUACUUGGUUGAGGAUCGUUGUGGCCGUGCUGUCAGGGCGGCUGGCCUGCCGUUUCUUUCCCUCCAAUGUCUUUGUCUGGUGUUGUCUGGAAUCAGUGGUCCUGGCUUCGCAGAAGGAGGAAGUCCAGAACUUUCUGCAUGAGCUGGUGUGGGAGUUGCUAGGGAUUCUGUUGGAAAUCCUCGGUAGAAUUCGGCAGUGAAGACAUCUGGUGCCCCUCGGCCCCCCCUUGAGGCCCUCCCCCGUGUCCCGUGUGCCCGGAGGUCGGGGCCAGGUCCCUCCCAGGGACUGGCUGGGGCACGUGCCCCUUCUCUCUGGGGUCACUGUUUCCUGCUGCUCAUCAGACAUUGAGACCGUCCCUUCCUCUGUUGUCCUGCCUCUUCCAGCCACCUGAGGCCCGAGGGUGAAUCUGUCCCCGUCACACAUUAUGGCUGGGAGGCUGGAAUGCAUUGUUUCAAAGACAGUUUCUCUCUGAAGGAACCUGGGAGGGAACGGAGGUAGAUUCAUCAGCUUUGGUCCAUCAUCUCAAAACUUCUGAACUUUUGUCUAAAACGUAGAGCAGGUCCAAGAUGAUGUCCACAAGGGCCUCGCUCUCAGUGCGGUGUCCCCCAGACGCGCCCCGGACCUUGCCACCGAUGGGGGUGGGCCCGGGUCUGCGGGUCUGUGACCUGGUCCUGCCCCCACACCUGUGGACACCCCGGUGCGAGAAUCAGUGAGGUCAAAGUGGGCUGCCGGUCCCUUCCGGCAACUUCUCUCCCGCGCACUCCACCCCCCAGCCGUCGUCCUGGGCCCGGCGGACCCCUGCGGGCAGAACGCAGCCCAGGAGCCCAGGGGCUUGAGUGGCUUGCUGCCUGCAGGUCCUCCGGGGAGGGGACUUGGGGCCGGGAACGAACCAGGCGCCUUCCCGCAGGCAGCGAGGGGACCUUUGCAAGCAACUCCCACCUCUUGCUCCUAGAUUAACGGAGGGACCUGGGAAUAAGGACUAGACAGAAAGCAGGGCGAGUUAAGAACCUGACACUCACAUCUCUAGGCUCAGCCAGUCAGAGGCAUGGGAGGGAGCCAGACCCGAGUCUGUGGCCCCUCCUCGGGGCUGAGGGGCCCCCUGCCCUGUCUGACCGUGUUUGUCCUCCCCAGUGGGAGCUCGAGAAUUCCACCUCGCAGGGAUUUUGGGCACUGCGGGCACCAGAGACUUGACCUUCCGAUGUGCUGCUCACACAGCAGCUCUGGAGCCCGAAGGGUGGCCCAGUCCCGGGGGCUCUGGUGGGGCAGCCUGUCAUACCUACAGGGCCCUCCAUGGGUCAUUCACUGCCCUUCUCCACUGUGACAACGAUCCCUCCUGUGACAACGUGGCUGCCACCACAUCCGUGACUGCAGGGCUGACCUCCCUGGAGACCGUUGCUCCGUGGGCCUGGUGGACGUAAAGGCAGUUGGGGCUUCGCCCUCAGGUCCAGAGAGAGACUGGCCUAGCCUCACGGGGCAGGCGGGCACCUGCGGCAGGCAGGGAGGGUGCUUGCCCAUGGCCACAGAGCAGGCUGGUGGCAGGGUCCACGCCAGGGGACCGUUUCAUGCCACCAAACAUCUGAGCAGGACGUGCUGUGGGCUGGACUUCACUCUCUAGCCACGUGAUCUGGCGGCCCCAUGAGGACCCACCUGCGGGGGGAGAACCUGGUCUGCCUUCCUGGAGGUGACGGCAAGUCCAGAAGCUCCCGCAGUCAGAGCCUGGGGUGCGCCAUGUCCGCCCCCCACAACGCGACCUCCCAUCGGAGCUCCCGGGAGCCCUUCUGUGUCAUGCCCACCUUUGCACCAGUCUUGCCCACGCCCUGGUCCGCGGAUGCUCCUGCCGGCCCCAGGGAAGGGGGCGGGCCGUGACUAGCCCAGGAGAGCGGAUGCACUUUCCUCCCAGGAGAGAACCAGUCCUUUGCUGUGUGUGGUCCGCCUGCCUGCUUCCUGCUUCCUGCUUCCUGCCUGCGCUCAGGCAGGAGGGAGAGAGCCUUUGAUGUGUGUGCUUGCUGCUCUGUCUUCCUAUCAGGGAGGGUUCUAGAAGGUCAGACAACACGGGCAUGCAGCUAACUGCUCGGCUCCGUGCCUUUUUUGGGGCGUUGGCAGCCAGCCUCCCUCACCAGCGGGGCUGAUGUCCUCCUGGUCGCUGUGCGCAUGACUUGGGUGAUUCAGGGCUGGGCCCCCAGCACCAGGAGACCACUGUGGACCCCCCUGCCUGGUCUCACCACUGCUCCUGCUCUGCCUUCCUUACCAAACCACCAUCCUCUGCCACAGGGCCUUUGCACGGGCUGCUCUGAUGUGCCGCUCUCCCCUCAUCCCUGUGGUUUACCCUCUGUACGCUCCCCACAGAGGAGCCUUCCUGACCCCAUCGCCUACAGCACCCCCUCCCCCCUGCCUUGUCCUUAUGUGUGUAUAGCAGACAAGAAGCACUCUUCCAGCUUCUUCUGGGCUUACUGCAUGGCCGCUGCUUUCUGCUGGCUUCUGUCUCUGCAGCAGGCCAAGUGCAGGGACACGGAGCCCAGUCAGAGGCGAUUUGUGCCCCCUGCGGAGAGCCUGGCAGGAGCCGGCGGCCACUCCAGCCACCAUCCUGUGAAUGCACAAAGACUCGUGAGACCAGGACUCUGAAAGCAAAGGGACCCGGGACCCAAGGCGCCUGUCAAGGUCGCGUCAGCGCCUAACACGGGAAGUGCAUUCGGUGCUCCAGACAAACCGGAAUGCUGGCUGGUCUCAAACGAAAGUCCACUGUGGGGCAGAACGGUGGCCGGUGGCGGGCGGUGGGCAGGCAGGGUCAGUCCUCCUGGCCACGGGGGAAGGUUCCAGCAGGGCUGGCGCCAGAUGUGCGGCUCCGUUUGGAAGAGUCACCUUAAGGUGGCGACUGAGCGGCCAUUUCUCUGGGGGCUGGAGGAGAACAUGUGCACAGACGACCGCCACCCCUCACCCGCAGACCUGGAAGGUCCCGCGCCAGUUUGAAAACAGCCAAUCAUGAAGCUCCAGCUCCCAUCACCCUGACAGCGGAGGCAACCUAUCC